AACUGGCCGUUCUGGAGGAGGCACUCUGCCCCACGCCCCCGUCUAUCCCACCUUCCCUCCGACGGUGCGUCGCUGUUUGGUCAGUAGUGUGUGUACAGUCUCUAGCCGCCCUAGAACACUCCCCGCGAUACUCGGUCCCCACCACUGUGACCCCUUUUGUCUGGAACGCAAUGAGGACUCAGGCUGUUGCGGUAGAGCCUUGACACAGCAUGACAAGUGAAACGGAGACACUGUACCCUGUACAGAGCUACGAGGCGAGAAAGAACGGGGACUGUCGGACAACCACACAGCACGGCUCUUAGAAUACACCUUGUCGAGUGCAUCAUUUGACAGAAUCACGAGAUUGGGCUCAGGAUUUGCAAUAAGCUGACUCAAUGAGUCACUCGAGGCACCAUUCAUCACAUUAUCAUUUGGA